UUAGGGAAGCUAUGACAUCUCUCGACCAAUAUCUUUAUGUUGUUCUGCUGUUUUGUAUUCAUCUGCUUCUUCCAUUUGCUCUUUUUACAUUGACUAUCACUCUAUACAGACAAAUACAAUCACAAACAACAGACAUUUCUUUAUUUAUUACACUAUAUACUGAUGCACUGAACAUUCACUUUAAUGUUAUAUGAGAUGACUGGAUGCUUUAAACUGAUUUACUAUUGAACUGCCAGCAACUGAACUGCAGCUCAAACUAUUUCAAAUAUAGUCAAUUAAGCUACAAACUCAGUCAUAGUUGGUACAAUAUUAAUUUUAAUGAUAUUCUGGUCGGGUAGGUUGAAAUAAAGAUGCCAAUUAAACCUUUGUAAUUUAUAUCGUACUAGACACAGUUUUGAAAUACAUAGCCUACACUUUAUCGUCUGAAUAACUGUUUCGAAGAUGACGCACGAGCUCAGUCUGCACGAAGAGAUGGAGGCAAGAGAAAGGUGAAGACUGGGGAGCAACGGCGCCGUUUCUGGUAAAACGUGAUUUUGACGACUUCAUUAGGUUUUGUUUUAUACAAAACAAGUUUGAAAAUUUACGUUUUGUAUAAAUUGUAUCUUAAUUUUGAUCAAUGCUAAACUGAGGAUCACUUAUCAUUGUGUAAUGGCUACAAACACUACAGUAUUUAUGGUAGUGCUGUUUGGUAGAGAGAGUACGGUAGUUUACGUGUCCUUUAUGGGAUGGCAUUAGCUUUGGAGUAAUGGCAGGUGCAUGCUGAUUACCAGAUGGGUGGUGGUGGUGAUUUCUGUCUUAGAGACUGCAAUGAUGGUUUGUGCCAGCUUCGGAAAACAGUUGUCGUAGCUGUUGUUUUAACAGUGUGAUAUUGUGUAUAAUAAUGGUUUGUGGCAAAGUUGGAAAACUCUUGUCUAGCUGGUACUCGGUCUGUGAUGUAUAUAUGGUUGAAGUGUGUGUUUGAUAUUGCGCUGUAUUGGAGUGUGUAUUCAUGUUAUUUGAUGUACGGUGUUUUUAGAAAUGAUUUUGAAAUGUUUUAGCACAAUAAGGAAGGUGUCUUUCUGGCUCUAUUAGAAGAAGGUGAUUGGUCACUGUCGAUGUCCUGUUCAAGCCCCGCUCUGUUUGCGCACACACACACACACACACACACACACACACACACACCAUGAAAACACAGACAGGAAGUUUAGUUUGGGCUAACUGAGGCUCCAUGUGAUGUUUCUCUCACUUGAACCCUGGAGUCAGGUCAGCACAGCGUCCCGUCUGCAGCCAGAUGCAUUAUGGGUCGUGUGUGUGGAGACAGCAUCUGAGCAGGAACUCAGAGAUGGAUGAUGGACAAUACGUUUCUGUCUGAAGUUUAUGUGAAAUAAUACAGAGAUAAUGGACAGCAGGUCUGUCGUUAACUGCACACACACACCGUUACGACCCUGUGUUCUACUUGCUCGCCUGCAGGCGGCGGUGUUCUUCCAGGAGAGCUUGGGAGAUCACACACCCCUGUUACCUCAUCACCACUUAAUUAUGGAGAGGAUAAAACCUUGGACUCAACCACUCCUCUUCACUUCGUCCAGGGGAUCGACACCCUCUGGAGAAGUCAUACCAGCCUUUUCUCCUCCCCAUCAGGAUUAUGAUUUUCCCCUUUUGAUUUUGAUCCCUAAACUUCGUUAUAUUUAGUUAUUUGUGUUUUUGAAGACUAAUAAAAUCUUGCAAGUGAUUUCUUCAGUGUACUUUACGUACGGUCGAAACGAGCUGGCCGUGACAUAAAUUGGGGGCUCGUCCAACGUAGGAAACGUUGGUAAGUAUGGGCUGUAUGCGACUGUUUUUGUGAAUGGUUACCUUUUAUAAAUGAGAAUCUUGGUGAGUUAGUGUUUCCAGCUGGAUUGUGAAUACAAUCCUUCCAACGGAGCACUGUUUGUUGUUUUGUUUUCUUAUUUUGCCUUUCUUUGUUUUUGGAGGUUAUCCUGGGUGGAGAUUAACUCUCUGUAGGGGGUACGCUUCCGGACCUUCAGUUUGACUGAUUGUCGCAGAGCUCAGCGUUUAAUGCCGCCCCGAGCCCGGUACAUCUCUGAAGACCAGAUUUGUUGCCGAAUCUUUAUUUUAGGAGGGAGGUGUUACGACCCUGCGUUCUACUUGCUCGCCUGCAGGUGGCGGUGUUCUUCCAGGGAGAUCGCACACCCCUGUUACCUGAUCACCACUUAAUUAUGGAGAAGUCACUUGUUUUGCGAACCUUUAUUUGUUUACAGUCCAUACCAGCCUUUUCUCCUCCCCAUCAGGAUUAUGAUUUUUUUUUAUUUUGAUCCCUAGACUUCGCUAUAUUAAGUUAUUUGUGUUUUUGAAGACUAAUAAAAUCUUGCAAGUCAUUUCUUCGGUGUACUUGUAUAGCUUGUGUACGUGUCACCUCCUGCAGCUGGUGUGUCGAGCGCAGAGGAACUCUGAUGAUGCAGCUGGAGAACGCCACAAACAGAGCGUGAUGCUCCUGAUCCAGCUCCAGACCCAACACCCUCCGCUCUCCGGGACACCUGCAACAACACGAUAUGAAUUGAUUUUCAUGGUUCCGUUCUUAACUGAGUGUGAAUGGGGCGUGAGCGUGCACCUGUUGUUCUGUGUGGUGAAGACCCCGAGCACAGCGGGCCGCUGGUUGAUCUGCAGCACACUGGUGAGAGACUGCAGCACGUACAAGUAGAAGAAGGUGUCUCCAGGAACAGAGCAGUCCAGACGUGCCUUCACAAACGACGUCCACUGACCAUGCAACACCCUUCUGGAGCCGCCCUUGUCGUUCUUACACACACGUGCCACACGGGAAUACACCACCUACAGCACGAGGAGUCAGCACCAGCUGUUGGGAUCUCACUGUAUAACAGAACUGAGAGUCUGAAUCUGUUACCCUCCCAGCGCCCGUGUGCUCCACCGCCGUCUCACUGAAGAACACAUACACGUACUGGCCGUGCUCCACAGCAUGCACGAAGUCAGGCUCUGAAGAGACAACAGUAAGUCAGUGCAAUUCCAGCGUUUACAUUUAUCUGAGCUACAACACUCGUGAUCUGAGGAAGCACCUCUGAGCCAUUUGGGGUCGUGUCUGACGGUGCGCAGAAGGGGGAGCUCGUCUGUUCCCCAACUCCUGUAGAUCAAAGCGUCACUCGCCUGGAAGUCCGCCACUGUGGCCGAAUAGAAAUGACCACCUGAGACACAGAGACGCAAGUUCAAUGAAAGAGUCACUCAAACCCGUGUGUUUUUUAGCGUCAUUACUGGUGGUGUGUUUCCGCAUCUCACCUGCAAACAGUCCCACGCUGGAGUGGCCAGACUGGAAGGGACACAGGCCCUGACCCCACAGCUCCUGACCGACCUGCUCCAGCGAACUCAACUAAACACAGACAGCAGCAGCGUGAGAAACCCUGCAUCAGCGUGAGGCUCAGAUCUGUCGCUCACUCACUCUGUAGUUCCUGCAGACCGGCUUCAGAGCGUUCGUUCCACACACAAACAGAGUCUCGUUGUCACGCCGCACAAGAACCUUGAUGUAGUUAUAGCAUUCAUCCUGAAAAACAAGACAGUUGGGAUGACUGAAAAGCGAUCGUAAAUGGUCUGAGGAGAGGGAAGUGAAUAUAAGCAGCUGAGCAGUGUUCCUUCUCAUCUCAGAUCUGCUCUGGAGACACUCACGCUGUUUCUUGCUCGUAUGGCACACAUCUCCAGGUUUGAAGAUCUCCACGUCAGGAUCUGAGAACACAGAUCACCAUGAGCUUUUCACACAAAUUCUGUUUGUUAUAAUGGUUCAACUAAAGGGAACGAUUCAAUCAAAAAAAUCUACAACAACAAAAAAAAUGUAUUACCUGAAAUCAUAAAAUGUAACAGAGUUAAUUUUCAGGCCACUAUGAAAUCCAUUUGAUGGUUUCUUUUAUUUAUUUUUUUAAUGUUUUUUCAUUUCCCUGGACUACGUUUUGAUCAGUGAUUUAAUUUUAGUCAUCUAAUAUCAUGUAUGAUUAACUGAAAUCAUGAAAAUUACACAAUUUAACAACUU